ACUUGUUUAGUAUAAAAAGUACAAAAGACAUCCAAUUUUUAAGUUUAAAAUAAAAUAAGUA
rnacentral:tRNA from 1 species